rnacentral:rRNA from 1 species
CUUUAUUGGAGAGUUUGAUCCUGGCUCAGGAUGAACGCUGGCGGCGUGCCUAAUACAUGCAAGUCGAGCGAAUGGAUUGAGAGCUUGCUCUUAUGAAGUUAGCGGCGGACGGGUGAGUAACACGUGGGUAACCUGCCCAUAAGACUGGGAUAACUCCGGGAAACCGGG